GGUUAAGCGACUAAGCGUACACGGUGGAUGCCCUGGCAGUCAGAGGCGAUGAAGGACGUGCUAAUCUGCGAUAAGCGUCGGUAAGGUGAUAUGAACCGUUAUAACCGGCGAUUUCCGAAUGGGGAAACCCAGUGUGUUUCGACACACUAUCAUUAACUGAAUCCAUAGGUUAAUGAGGCGAACCGGGGGAACUGAAACAUCUAAGUACCCCGAGGAAAAGAAAUCAA
rnacentral:rRNA from 1 species